GACGAACGCUGGCGGCGUGCCUAAUACAUGCAAGUAGGCCGCAGUUGAGAACGGGUGAGUAACGCGUAGGUAACUACCUAUUAGAGGGGGAUAACUAUUGGAACAGAUAGCUAAUACCGCAUCCUAGUAGAUGCACCUGCGUUAUAUUAGCUAGUAGGUAGGGUAAUGGCCUCCCUAGGCAACGAUACAUAGCCGAACUGAGAGGGUGAUCAGCGACACUGGGACUGAUACACGGCACAGACUCCUACGGGAGGCAGCAGUAGGGAAUCUUCGGCAAUGGGGGGAACCCUGACCGAGCAACGCGGCGUGAGGUAAGAAGGUUUUCGGAUCGUAAAGCUCUGUUGUUAAGGAAGCGGUAGUUAACCAGAAAGGGCCGGCUAACUACGUGCCAGCAGCCGCGGUAAUAC
rnacentral:rRNA from 1 species